rnacentral:rRNA from 1 species
GACGAACCGUGCGAACGUUGUUCGGAAUCACUGGGCUUAAAGGGCGCGUAGGCGGGUGGCCAAGUCAGAGGUGAAAUCCCACAGCUCAACUGUGGAAGGGCCCCUGAUACUGGCCGUCUCGAGGGAGGUAGGGGCGUGUGGAACUUCCGGUGGAGCGGUGAAAUGCGUAGAUAUCAGGAGGAACACCGGUGGCGAAGGCGGGUCUCUGGGCCGGUACCGACGCUGAGGAGCGAAAGCGUGGGGAGCGAAGCAGG